GUCCACCACAGGUGUACGUUUCUUUAACUGUCUAUGUGUCCGUGCCGCCGGAAUGGAAGAAACCUCAGCAAAGUUAACCACUUGCUGCAGUUACCUGCACCCACCGGCGUUUCUUAAAAGAAAAGAAAGAGUGGAGCUGAAACAGCGACAACUUAAAGGCUUUUUAGACGCAGCAAGAGGACAAACAGGAAUACAUUGUGGAAAUGCUUUUCAGCGAUGGAGACCGCUGAAAGAGUUGAAAGGGAUAAAAACUGAUGAUUGUCGUUUUUUGUUGGACAGUUAUGGCGAGGAUAAUUCGACGUCGACACCGGGAAAUCACGGUUCUCUCCUGCUGUGUUAACUUGUGUUUCACAGUCUGUCUCCGACCGGACAAUCUCUGCCAGAGUAGUUUGCCACAGCUGAUGAUACUACCACAUCCAGAGCCAGACCUGUCUUCUAACACUGAACCCCUAGACAAAGAUUGAUUACUAUAUAUUAAUUGUCUAUAUGAAAAAUAAACAAGUUUUACUUUAGUUGGUUGAAAUUAUUUUGUGCAGCAUGUACAGGAAUGAGAUAUGUCGUGAUAGUUGUAAUAGCAUGCAUUGAAUAAUUCAUCUUUAUUGAACAAAAUAUAAAAAAACAAGGCAUACUUUAAAAAGGAUUAAAUACAAAGGUAAACUAUGUAAAUUGUGUAGAAUUGUAUGUAAAAUGAUGGCGUGUUGAUGAGUUUAACCCCAGUCCUUAUCCAAGUGAGACGAAGCCCAGAGGAGAUGCUACUUUAAAAUCUUGCUAGUUUCUCAACUUUACCAGCCCUGCACAGCAAUGCCUUUCAAGGAAUGAUAUCUAACAAGCCACUCACAACAAAACCUACAAGUAGAGUUUGAUCAAACAAUUUCUUCUUGGAGAUUUACUUAUUUGCAUACCAAAGUUU